UACGGGGGGGGCAAGCGUUGUUCGGAAUUACUGGGCGUAAAGGGCUCGUAGGUGGCCAACUAAGUCAGACGUGAAAUCCCUCGGCUUAACCGGGGAACUGCGUCUGAUACUGGAUGGCUUGAGUUUGGGAGAGGGAUGCGGAAUUCCAGGUGUAGCGGUGAAAUGCGUAGAUAUCUGGAGGAACACCGGUGGCGAAGGCGGCAUCCUGGACCGAAACUGACGCUGAGGAGCGAAAGCCAGGGGAGCAAACGGG
rnacentral:rRNA from 1 species